CGGGAAUUUUCCGCAAUGGACGAAAGUCUGACGGAGCAACGCCGCGUGAGUGAGGACGGCCUUCGGGUUGUAAAACUCUGUUCUCUCGGAAGAGCAUCACGGAGCUGAAUAGGCUCUGUGGUUCGACGGUACGAGAGGAGAAAGCCCCGGCUAACUACGUGCCAGCAGCCGCGGUAAUACGUAGGGGGCAAGCGUUGUCCGGAUUUAUUGGGCGUAAAGGGCGCGCAGGCGGCCUCUUAAGUCAGUUGUGAAAGGUCUCGGCUCAACCGAGGAGUUGCAGCUGAAACUGGGAGGCUCGAGUGCAGGAGAGGAGAGUGGAAUUCUCGGUGUAGCGGUGGAAUGCGUAGAGAUCGGGAGGAACACCAGUGGCGAAGGCGACUCUCUGGCCUGCGACUGACGCUGAGGCGCGAAAGCGUGGGGAGCGAAC
rnacentral:rRNA from 1 species